UUCGCUCUAAAAAGUAGGGUCUCACCACUGCUCCGUUGCGCUGCUUGCAGUUGCAACUGUGCUGAAGGAUUUUUAUCACUUGUCGAGGUUCGUCGGGUCAUGGUGCCAGCCUGACUGAAAAGAGGACGCUCCCGGGAGACGAAUGAGGAACCACCUCCUCCUGCUGUUCAAGUACAGGGGCCUAGUCCGCAAAGGGAAGAAAAGCAAAAGACGAAAAUGGCUAAAUUCGUGAUCCGCCCUGCCACCGCUGCCGACUGUAGUGACAUCCUGCGGCUGAUCAAGGAACUGGCUAAAUAUGAAUACAUGGAAGACCAAGUAAUAUUAACUGAAAAAGAUCUGCUAGAGGAUGGUUUCGGAGAGCACCCCUUCUACCACUGCCUGGUUGCAGAAGUGCCCAAGGAACACUGGACUCCGGAAGGUAACCCCUCACCCAAUCCAGAAGCCAGAGAGACCAAGUGUUGCAUAAAAUGUAGUGUCUGUUGUGUAGAACCCUUGACUACACAGGCUGAAGUUACUGAGAAGUUGACCGGAAAUAAUAGCCAGCCAGUAUUCAAAUUACUGAGGAAAGAAAAUUGAUGUGCUGUACUUUAUAAUAGGGCAGGUUAAAGGAGCUGUUUAAGUAAGUAUCAAAGUGCUGUGGAGACCCGGAAGAGUUAGGUAUAAUGUCAUUUGUUGUAAUUCAGUUUCAUAAAAUGGUUCUUGUUUGACCCUAAUAUAACCUUUUUUAUAAUUGUGUUAAAUCACAUUUUUUUCUUUAAUUUGUCCCAAUCUUCAGGUUACAGUCUCUAGCUUCGCCAUGUACAUGGCCCUUCCGUGUACAUGGAUGGGCGGGGAGGUAACUAAAAGAUCCUUUACACAAUAAACUAGAUGAUCAUGAUAAAUGAGGACACAGCAUCGUUGGUUUUGCCAUGUACUAUUUUACCUAUGACCCAUGGAUUGGAAAAUUACUGUAUCUUGAAGACUUCUUCGUGAUGAGUGAUUAUAGAGGCUUUGGUAUAGGAUCAGAAAUUUUGAAGAAUCUAAGCCAGGUUGCCAUGAAGCGUCGCUGCAGCAGCAUGCACUUCUUGGUAGCAGAAUGGAAUGAACCAUCUAUCAACUUCUACAAAAGAAGAGGUGCUUCUGAUCUGUCCAGUGAAGAAGGAUGGAGACUCUUUAAGAUUGACAAGGAGUACUUGAUAAAAAUGGCAGCAGAGGAGUGAGGAGUGCUGGUGUAGAUGAUGACAACCUCCAUUCUAUUUUAGAAUAAAUUCUCAACUUAUCUUGCUUUCUAUCCUAUUUGUAGUAAAAUAAUAGAAUGAGCACCAUUCCAAAGCUUUAUUACCAGUGGCGUUGUUGCAUGUUUGAAAUGUGGUCUGUUUAAAAUGGCAAUCAUCUGCAGUUCGGAGUCAGAUUUCUCCUUGAACAUCUUUUGAUAAACAGUGAGGUGGUGUGAUCUUAAUAUAUAUGAAAAAAACUUCAUUCUUGUGAGUCAUUUAAAUGUGUACAAUGUACACACUGGUACUUAGAGUUUCUGUUUUGAUUCUUUUUUAAUAAACUACUCUUUGAUUUAA